GACGAACGCUGGCGGCGUGCUUAACACAUGCAAGUCGAACGGAAAGGCCCUGCUUUUGUGGGGUUCUCGAGUGGCGCACGGGUGAGUAACACGUGAGUAACCUCCCCUUGACUUUGGGAUAACUUCAGGAAACUGGGGCUAAUACCGGAUAGGAGCUCCUGCUGCAUGGUGGGGGUUGGAAAGUUUCGGCGGUUGGGGAUGGACUCACGGGUUAUCGGCUUGUUGGUGGGGUAGUGGCUUACCAAGGCUGUGACGGGUAGGCGGCCUGAGAGGGGGACCGGGGACAGGGGGACUGCGGGAGGGCGCAGUAGGGUACGGGAGGCAGCGGGGGGGAGUAUUGCGGAAUGGGGGGAAGCGUGAGGCAGCGGCGCGGCGUGCGGGAUGACGGGCUUCGGGGUGUAAACAGCUGUGGCCGGUGACGAGGCGUGAGUGACGGUAACGGGUAAGGAAGCACCGGCUAACUACGUG
rnacentral:rRNA from 1 species